rnacentral:rRNA from 1 species
AACGAACGCUGGCGGCAUGCCUAACACAUGCAAGUCGAACGAAGCCUUCGGGCUUAGUGGCGCACGGGUGCGUAACACGUGGGAAUCUGCCCUUCGGUUCGGAAUAACAGUUAGAAAUGACUGCUAAUACCGGAUGAUGACGAAAGUCCAAAGAUUUAUCGCCGAAGGAUGAGCCCGCGUAGGAUUAGGUAGUUGGUAGGGUAAUGGCCUACCAAGCCGACGAUCCUUAGCUGGUCUGAGAGGAUGAUCAGCCACACUGGGACUGAGACACGGCCCAGACUCCUACGGGAGGCAGCAGUGGGGAAUAUUGGACAAUGGGCGAAAGCCUGAUCCAGCAAUGCCGCGUGAGUGAUGAAGGCCUUAGGGUUGUAAAGCUCUUUUACCAGGGAUGAUAAUGACAGUACCUGGAGAAUAAGCUCCGGCUAACUCCGUGCCAGCAGCCGCGG